rnacentral:piRNA from 1 species
UUUAAGAAGCAGGAUUUUGUCCUAAUA